UACGUAGGGGGCAAGCGUUAUCCGGAUUUACUGGGUGUAAAGGGAGCGUAGACGGCAGCGCAAGUCUGGAGUGAAAUGCCGGGGCCCAACCCCGGAACUGCUUUGGAGACUGUGCAGCUGGAGUGCAGGAGAGGUAAGCGGAAUUCCUAGUGUAGCGGUGAAAUGCGUAGAUAUUAGGAGGAACACCAGUGGCGAAGGCGGCUUACUGGACUGUAACUGACGUUGAGGCUCGAAAGCGUGGGGAGCAAACAGG
rnacentral:rRNA from 1 species